rnacentral:rRNA from 1 species
GAUGAACGCUGGCGGCGUGCCUAACACAUGCAAGUCGAGCGAAGCGGGGACGGGUGAGUAAAAUGUGGAUAACCUCCUAUAAGACUGGGAUAACCUCGGGAAACCGGAGCUAACCCGGAUACUUAUCGAUGGAUCCGCGCUGCAUUAGCUGGUUGGUAAGGUAACGGCUCACAAAGGCAACGAUGCAUAGCCGACCUGAGAGGGUGAUCGGCCACACUGGAACUGAGACACGGUCCAGACUCCUACGGGAGGCAGCAGUGGGGAAUCUUGCGCAAUGGGCGAAAGCCUGACGCAGCAAUGCCGCGUGUAUGAUGAAGGUCUUCGGAUCGUAAAGCUCUGUUAUUAGGGAAGCGGUACCUACUCAAAAAGCCCCGGCUAACUACGUGCCAGCAGCCGCGGUAAUUC